rnacentral:rRNA from 1 species
GACGAACGCUGGCGGCGUGCUUAACACAUGCCAGUCGAACGGAAAGGCCCUGCGUUUGUGGGGCGCUCGAGUGGCGAACGGGUGAGUAACACGUGAGUAACCUGCCCUUGACUUUGGGAUAACUUCAGGAAACUGGGGCUAAUACCGGAUAGGAGCUCCUGCUGCAUGGUGGGGGUUGGAAAGUUUCGGCGGUUGGGGAUGGACUCGCGGCUUAUCAGCUUGUUGGUGGGGUAGUGGCUUACCAAGGCUUUGACGGGUAGCCGGCCUGAGAGGGUGACCGGCCACAUUGGGACUGAGAUACGGCCCAGACUCCUACGGGAGGCAGCAGUGGGGAAUAUUGCACAAUGGGCGGAAGCCUGAUGCAGCAACGCCGCGUGCGGGAUGACGGCCUUCGGGUUGUAAACCGCUUUCGCCUGUGACGAAGCGUGAGUGACGGUAAUGGGUAAAGAAGCACCGGCUAACUACGUG